rnacentral:rRNA from 1 species
GAUGAACGCUGGCGGCGUGCUUAACACAUGCAAGUCGAACGAGAAGUGAAGACGCAAACCUUACUGCGGAUGGCUUUAUUUCGAUUGGCGAACGGGUGAGUAACUCGUGGUUAACCUGCCUCAUACAGGGGGAUAACAGUUGGAAACGACUGUUAAUACCGCAUAACACCACUGCACCGCAUGAUGCGGGGUUAAAAACUCCUAUGGUAUGAGAUGGACCCGCGUUCGAUUAGCCAGUUGGGGGGGUAACGGCCCACGAAAGCGACUAUCGAUAGCCGAUAUGAGAGGAUGACCGGACACAUUGGGACUGAGAAACGGCACAAACUCCUCCGGGAGGGAGCAGUGGGGAAUAUAGCAAAAUGGGGGAAACCAUGAUGAAGCGAGGCUGCGAGAGUGAAGAAGUAUUUCGGUAUGAAAAGCUCUAUCAGCAGGGCAGAAAAUGACGGUACCUGAGCAAGAAGCCACGGCUAACUACGUG